GGCCAUUCGGGGAGCUCGACUCCUCACUUACGUGGAGAUGCCUCAUCUGCAUCUCUGACCAUGUCUGACCCUGUUAUUGUUUCUUGCCAGAAUGCCAGUAGGAAACUCUGAAACUGAUGUAGUAGGACUGUCUUAUUCUCAACCGAGAGGGUUACUGCAACUAGCAAGGAAAGUGUCAUGUUCAUACUAUUUUGCUUUUUUUGUGAUAAUUGCAGCAGGUUAUGUUCUUAUGAUGGUAAUUUUAGAUAACACGAAGAUUGAGAUAGUCCAUU